AACGAACGCUGGCGGCAUGCCUAACACAUGCAAGUCGAACGAGACCUUCGGGUCUAGUGGCGCACGGGUGCGUAACGCGUGGGAAUCUGCCCUUGGGUUCGGAAUAACAGCGAGAAAUUGCUGCUAAUACCGGAUGAUGACGUAAGUCCAAAGAUUUAUCGCCCAAGGAUGAGCCCGCGUAGGAUUAGCUAGUUGGUGAGGUAAAGGCUCACCAAGGCGACGAUCCUUAGCUGGUCUGAGUGGAUGAUCAGCCACACUGGGACUGAGACACGGCCCAGACUCCUACGGGAGGCAGCAGUGGGGAAUAUUGGACAAUGGGCGAAAGCCUGAUCCAGCAAUGCCGCGUGAGUGAUGAAGGCCUUAGGGUUGUAAAGCUCUUUUUACCCGGGGAUGAUAAUGACAGUACCGGGAGAAUAAGCUCCGGCUAACUCCGUGCCAGCAGCCGCGGUAAU
rnacentral:rRNA from 1 species